CGAAAGGCUCAAAGUCUCUUUUAAAAUUAAAAAAAAAAUUAGUGUACCUGCAGACUCGAGCGCAAGAGAUUCAGAAUUGCAAUACUAAAUACCCGCCCUUGGAUUGAGAGUUUUUUCUGGCAGUUUUGAAGCAUUUUCAUAAUUCAUUGCAGUUUCAGGAACCUUUGUGAAUUUGAAAUCUUGGCUUUUCAGCCAAUGCAUCUCCAUUUUACCAACGUAUACACACACACACACACCUACUUACUGGACUCGAUCCGGUUUCGAUCGGCCACAUCAUGACCUGGGCUUACAAGAAGCGACGAUCGACCCGGCCGGAGAAUAAAUAUUCCGCAAACCGUGCGUCCUGCAGUAGCAGCAAAAAAAAACAGCAAUAACACACACAGACACAUAGACAUAGUACACAUAACCGGUUCUUGUUGCUUGAGCAAACGCCGGGAACGGAAGAUGGUAAGUGACGGUGUCGCCGUUCAGCCGCUGUCGUCUCUCCCGAAAUGCAAAGAAGGCCAAAGCAAAAGCGAAAUUCUUUCCACAUCGCUCAACAAAAAACAUUGGCAACAGCGCGCCCGAACAAAUCCGGCCCUAGUGGCCAGCUAGUGUGUGCCGGGUUUGGGGCGAGUGAGCUGUUGUUCUGCUUUCGUUCCUGCGCCUACAUCAAUUGGCUUCUUCUCGUGCACACACGCGCGUUGUCUUUUUUGUUGUGCGAAAUUGUUAACCAGCCGGAAUUCUCAUUCCCGCACCGGACCGGGAGACCAUUCCAUUCCGCUGGCGUAUGGCUGGAUGUGUAUGUCCGCGUUGGAGAGAUCUUUUCACGCAGCGGCUGCUCGAGCCGGGCACGAUAUCGGAAACGGUUUCGUGUAAUGUGUGUGGUUUAGCUGUUUAUUUUAGCGUUCUUUGGCUCCACUACCGCCCAUAUAGCGACGCGCUUCUAGCUUCAAACAUUCGCACCAACACACACACACCCACCCACCGACUCCGACUCCUUCGGCCCGUACCGUUCGGCGGCGAUCUCCCCGCUGAUGCUCACACACAAUGACGCGGUUUUUAACUUCUGGCACGUUUUUGUUCGUAGUGCUGACGGCGGGAGUGCUUGGAUUCUAAUGUUUAUUUAUACCAUUCCCACACACACACACACACAUAUAGACAAAUCCUACACUGACUCUGUUUGCCUCUAGAGAUACAAAUCUACCGUGCCGUUUACC